AUGUUGGUGAGCGCAGAGAAAGCCAUACCUGCGACUGUGAGAGAGGAAGGGGUCGGCAUGACAGAAACAGGAGCAAUUCCAUUGAAGCAGCACUUCGUUCUGGUACAUGGCAUAGGAGGAGGAGGUUGGUGCUGGUAUAAAAUUCGGUGCCUUAUGGAGAAUUCUGGCUACAAGGUCUCAUGCAUAGACCUCAAGAGUGCUGGAAUUGAUCGAUCUGAUGCCGAUUCUAUUCUUUCCUUUGAUGAGUACAAUCAGCCUCUCAUGGAUUUCAUGUCCGCUUUGCCUGAGAAUGAACAGGUGAUAUUGGUGGGACAUAGCGCAGGAGGGUUGAGUAUUACUCAGGCCUGUCAUAAGUUUUCAAACAAGAUCCGAUUAGCAGUGUAUACAGCAGCUACUAUGCUCAAGCUCGGAUACCAGACAGAAGAGGAUAUGAAAGAUGGGAUACCUGACUUAUCUGAGUUUGGGGAUGUGUACGAGCUAGGAUUUGGACUGGGAACAGAUAAGCCCCCAACCAGUGCUGUGGUGAAGAAAGAGUUUCAACGCAAAAUCAUAUACCAUUUGAGCCCCCACGAGGAUUCAAUCUUAGCUGCAAUGCUUUUGAAGCCCGGGCCGGUUCUUGCUAUAACCAGCGCGCGAUUUGACGAUGAAGGGGAAGUGGAGAAGGUUAGGCGCGUGUACAUAAGGACGAAGCACGAUAAGGUGGUGAAAGGAGAGCAACAAGAGUCGAUGAUAAAGAAGUGGCCACCAUGUGCAGUGUAUGAACUGGACAGCGACCAUAGCCCCUUCUUCUCUGCGCCAUUCGUCCUCUUCGGCUUGCUCGUUAAAGCUGCAGCUUUUGACGUUGGAUGCAACUUCCUAAGCUGAGGCUUGAGGGACCCUUUUUCCUUUUUUGCUUUGCUGCAUCCAUCUUCAAGCAAUCCGCGGGAGAGAGGCAGUUUGGUAUCCAGUUUCGAGAGACAAGGAUCAUGUUAUGGUUGCCUUCUAAAUACGAGGAAUCUGAGUUUAAAAUGUGGAUACACUAUCAUGUGAAUAGAGAUGAACAAAUCCCUCAGUUAUUGCGAAAAUGAAAAAAAAGAAGAAGAAGAUGAAUAGAUCCCACAAUUGAUUUUAAAUAGAAUUCGAAUUUGCCAGGGCCUGCCAAGUAGUUUUAUGAUCCUCUUAAUAUGAUCAUUAUAUUAAACCCGUGUUAAUUACAGAAUCCGGACAAGUUUCUGGUUCCAAAGAAAAAAGAUGAAUGGCACAUUUAAAAAUAACGUUGGUUCAAUUA